rnacentral:tRNA from 1 species
GCAUCGGUGGUUUAGUGGUAAAAUUAGCCGUUGCCACCCUCAUAGGUCAAUUCGGCUAGCCCCGGGUUCGAUUCCCGGCCGAUGCA